GAACACUCCAAAUGGCCCGUUUUGAGACAGGUCAUUCUGAGCUUGAGAUGUUCUGCACACCCCCAGUUCUUUUGAAGUCAGAAAAAAAGUUCUAUUUUCAUGAAAGGUUGCCAGAAAGGAAAUAGAAACAGUCUCUCCUGAUUUCUGCUAUUGCUUAAAUGCCAGUGCCUGCAUUGCAUUCUGCUGAUUAUGAGUUCUCUCAAAACUUCUCCUUU